AAAUUGAAGAGUUUGAUCAUGGCUCAGAUUGAACGCUGGCGGCAGGCCUAACACAUGCAAGUCGAACGGUAACAGGAAACAGCUUGCUGUUUCGCUGACGAGUGGCGGACGGGUGAGUAAUGUCUGGGAAACUGCCUGAUGGAGGGGGAUAACUACUGGAAACGGUAGCUAAUACCGCAUAAUGUCGCAAGACUAAAGAGGGGGACCUUCGGGCCUCUUGCCAUCGGAUGUGCCCAGAUGGGAUUAGCUAGUAGGUGGGGUAACGGCUCACCUAGGCGACGAUCCCUAGCUGGUCUGAGAGGAUGACCAGCCACACUGGAACUGAGACACGGUCCAGACUCCUACGGGAGGCAGCAGUGGGGAAUAUUGCACAAUGGGCGCAAGCCUGAUGCAGCCAUGCCGCGUGUAUGAAGAAGGCCUUCGGGUUGUAAAGUACUUUCAGCGGGGAGGAA
rnacentral:rRNA from 1 species